AUGAAUUCGACCAAGCGAGCUGUCCCCCAAGGUUCCCCGCGACGAAGCCCCAGGGCCAUGGAGGCCGACGACGACGAGGAGGAGUAUGAAAGCGUGAAGGUGGUGAGUGAUGAUAAGGGUUUGGAAAGUAAGUUAGAUGAAGAAUUCGACUCGUUGGAGUAUGAAAACACAGCAGAAGCUGCCAAGAAACUUGUUGAUACGGUGAAAAUCCUGUGGUCUACAGUGGAACCCCAUUUGCUGAAGAUGCUAGCAUGCUUAUCUGUUGCAGCCCUUGUGACUGUUAUGAUCAAGUAUUCCCAAAGGUCUCGUAAGGUCAAGGUGCCCGUGUCACAACGUAUGCCUUCAGUUCCACCCAGGCGAGUGCCAGUAUUAGCUCCACAUAAUACUGUGCCACUGCCGGUGUUCCAUUCAGAGCAACCUGUGCAACGGAUUGUGCCCAAACAAGAGUCAUAUGCCUGCUUGGAGCUUCCUGUGCAAUCCUUGUUGUCAGAGUCAGAUCAAUCUGUGUGCCUCAAUGUUCCAUCAAUUGGUCAUAGGGAUCGUGAUCAGAAAGGUCAGCAAGAGGAUGUUUGUGCCUCAAUGUUCCAUCAAUUGGUCAUAGGGAUCGUGAUCAGAAAGUUCAGCAAGAGGAUGGUGGCGUUGAAAGGGCUUCAGAUGGCAGUACUGUGGAUCAUAAAGAUACUGACAGAUCAAAGCCACCGGUGGUUCAGUUGCUCGGAGACUUCUCAUUUGUCGAUGCAGAUAGCUCAAGACGGAGGUCUGUCAAAGACUCAAUUCAGCAUGGUGGAGACGUCACGGUUCAGGAAUCCAUGUCUUCGAGGAAGCGUGUGGUCAAGACGCAAAAGGAUUCUGACAAAAUGCAAACCCCUGGUCUUCAAGCAGAGCAAGAAAGAAGGAGACUGCAAGAGCAGAAGAAGAGAAGGUGGGUGCUACACCGACUCCACCGAGGCGUUCAAAUCGUCUCCGUAA
rnacentral:rRNA from 1 species